rnacentral:rRNA from 1 species
ACGCUGGCGGCAGGCCUAACACAUGCAAGUCGAGCGGUAGAGAGAAGCUUGCUUCUCUUGAGAGCGGCGGACGGGUGAGUAAUGCCUAGGAAUCUGCCUGGUAGUGGGGGAUAACGUCCGGAAACGGACGCUAAUACCGCAUACGUCCUACGGGAGAAAGCAGGGGACCUUCGGGCCUUGCGCUAUCGGAUGAGCCUAGGUCGGAUUAGCUAGUUGGUGGGGUAAUGGCUCACCAAGGCGACGAUCCGUAACUGGUCUGAGAGGAUGAUCAGUCACACUGGAACUGAGACACGGUCCAGACUCCUACGGGAGGCAGCAGUGGGGAAUAUUGGACAAUGGGCGAAAGCCUGAUCCAGCCAUGCCGCGUGUGUGAAGAAGGUCUUCGGAUUGUAAAGCACUUUAAGUUGGGAGGAAGGGCAGUAAAUUAAUACUUUGCUGUUUUGACGUUACCGACAGAAUAAGCACCGGCUAACUCUGUGCCAGCGGCCGCGGUAAUACAGAGGGUGCAAGCGUUAAUCGGAAUUACUGGGCGUAAAGCGCGCGUAGGUGGUUCGUUAAGUUGGAUGUGAAAUCCCCGGGCUCAACCUGGGAACUGCAUUCAAAACUGACGAGCUAGAGUAUGGUAGAGGGUGGUGGAAUUUCCUGUGUAGCGGUGAAAUGCGUAGAUAUAGGAAGGAACACCAGUGGCGAAGGCGACCACCUGGACUGAUACUGACACUGAGGUGCGAAAGCGUGGGGAGCAAAC